GUUGCCCACAGGAAAACUUGAACUUGGAUGAGCCAAACGCGACGAGUGACACGAAAUAUGGGCGAGAACGAUUUUCCUUUCACGUUUCAAACGGUUUCUCAUGAGCAUGAGGAGGCGAAACGGAAGGUCUUUAACGACGAGUCUUUGGAAAUAAAUGUGACACAAGUAAUGCCAGGACGUAUCUUUCUGCCCAAAGCCUACGAAGAAGAUGCCAAAAGAAUUUAUAACAUGGAAUUGCGGCCAGAUGACAUAUGGAUUGUCACGUACCCAAAAUGUGGGACAACGUGGACCCAAGUAUUACUA